rnacentral:rRNA from 1 species
UGGGGAAUAUUGCACAAUGGGCGCAAGCCUGAUGCAGCCAUGCCGCGUGUGUGAAGAAGGCCUUCGGGUUGUAAAGCACUUUCAGCGAGGAGGAAGGUGGUGAACUUAAUACGUUCAUCAAUUGACGUUACUCGCAGAAGAAGCACCGGCUAACUCCGUGCCAGCAGCCGCGGUAAUGCGGAGGGUGCAAGCGUUAAUCGGAAUUACUGGGCGUAAAGCGCACGCAGGCGGUUUGUUAAGUCAGAUGUGAAAUCCCCGGGCUCAACCUGGGAACUGCAUUUGAAACUGGCAAGCUAGAGUCUCGUAGAGGGGGGUAGAAUUCCAGGUGUAGCGGUGAAAUGCGUAGAGAUCUGGAGGAAUACCGGUGGCGAAGGCGGCCCCCUGGACGAAGACUGACGCUCAGGUGCGAAAGCGUGGGGAGCAAACAGGAUUAGAUACCCUGGUAGUCCACGCUGUAAACGAUGUCGAUUUUGGAGGUUGUGCCCUUGAGGCGUGGCUUCCGGAGCUAACGCGUUAAAUCGACCGCCUGGGG